GUGGGUCACUCCUGAUGCAUUUGAUAUUUCUAGAAAAUUGAAUGCAUUCAAAUGCAUUUAAAUGCCCACCUCCAGCAAAUUUGUAAAUCAUGGCUUGCUCAUAUGUUUGGUUGUUGUCUUUGUCAAAGAGUCAAACCAAUCGUGUCACAAUUUCGAGAAGAGCUGCUAUCUCAUCCAAAAAUUAUUCAACCCAAGGUUUUGUAGCACUUGAAGAAUAUCAGUAUUUGAAUAUUGAUUUUAAAAAAAUGGACAACGAUUUUCCUAUUUUUUCCGUGGACAGUUGGAAGGCUACGAAAGUUUAGAGGGGAAGAGCGGCUCAUAACAACAUAUCUACCGAUUAAAUGAGUUCACUUGGUCACAGAAUGUUCGUCACCGCAUAUUCAAAAAUUACUCUGAAGAUCCAGUAUUGUUAACUUUUUUCAUUCUGUUGGUUGGCCAUACACUUUUUCCAGUCAAGGAUGUUUUCCGCUGACCGAAAGAAUAUUUGAGGCAAGUUCGACACAAAGGUCCGUACGGAGAGGUUUCAAUGAGCCCUGAAGCAAAAGGAAUAGUUGUGGACAAUGUUCACAGGGCAUGAAGAAUUUAAUCUACACAUACACACAUAUACAUUCCGUAGAAAAAAUGUACAGUUCGACUAAAGAACCAUGCAGAAGAAAACGAAAAAAAGAAAUCUCAACUUGAGUGUCCGUCAUAUUCCCAACUCCUUGAAUGAAGCAAUUAAAAUGAGCCAUUUGGUCAAAGUUUAA